rnacentral:rRNA from 1 species
AUUGAACGCUGGCGGCAUGCCUUACACAUGCAAGUCGAACGGCAGCACGGGUGCUUGCACCUGGUGCCGAGUGGCGAACGCGUGAGUAAUACAUCGAAACAUGUCCUGGAGUGGGGGAUAGCCGGGCGGAAGCCGAAGUAAUACCGCAUACGCACUACGGCUGAAGGCGAGGGACCUUCGGCUCGGGCCCUCUAGCGUUGGCCUCUGCCUACGUAGCGAGUUGGGGGGGUCAAGGCCUACCAAGGCGACGACCAGUAGCUGGUCUGAGAGGACGACCAGCCACACUGGGACCGAGACCCGGUCCAGACUCCUACGGGAGGCAGCAGUGGGGAAUUUUGGCCACUGGGCGCAAGCCUGAUCCAGCAAUCCCGCGUGUGUGAAGAAGGCUUUCGGGUUGUAAAGCGUUUUUGUCCGGAAAGAAAUCCUUGCCCAUAAUACGGUCUGGGUCUGACGGUACCCGAAGAAUAAGCACCGGCUAACUUCGUG